GAUGAAGAACGUAGCGAAAUGCGAUAAGUAAUGUGAAUUGCAGAAUUUAGUGAAUCAUCGAAUCUUUGAACGCAUAUUGCGCCCGCCAGCACUCUGGCGGGCAUGCCUGUUCGAGCGUCAUUUCAACCCUCAGGCCUCGCGUCUGGCGUUGGGGCGCUGCGGCCCUCCCGCAGGCCCCCAAAUUUAGCGGCGGAUUCCCCGCGGCCCUGAGCGCAGUAGAGAGUAAAAACUUUAACGCUCCGGCGGCCGUGGCGCGGUUCUGCCUCUUUCCCAAUAGCGCCAACAGCGCCACCCCCAAAAAAGUUGACCUCGGAUCAGGUAGGACUACCCGCUGAACUUAAGCAUAUCAAUAAGCGGAGGA
rnacentral:misc_RNA from 1 species